UACGGAGGGUGCAAGCGUUAUCCGGAUUCACUGGGUUUAAAGGGUGCGUAGGUGGGCAGGUAAGUCAGUGGUGAAAUCUCCGGGCUUAACUCGGAAACUGCCGUUGAUACUAUCUGUCUUGAAUAUCGUGGAGGUUAGCGGAAUAUGUCAUGUAGCGGUGAAAUGCUUAGAUAUGACAUAGAACACCGAUUGCGAAGGCAGCUAACUACACGAUCAUUGACACUGAGGCACGAAAGCGUGGGGAGCAAACAG
rnacentral:rRNA from 1 species